UACGAGGGGGGCAAAUGUUGUUCGGAAUCACUGGGCGUAAAGGGAGCGUAGGCGGGUUUUUAAGUCAGGUGUUUAAUCCCGGGGCCCAACCCCGGACCGGCACUUGAAACUGGGAAUCUUGAAUAGUGGAGAGGUCAGUGGAAUUGGGGGUGUAGCGGUGGAAUGCGUAGAGAUCCCCAAGAACACCAGUUGCGAAGGCGGCUGACUGGACACAUAUUGACGCUGAGGCACGAAAGCGUGGGGAGCAAACAGG
rnacentral:rRNA from 1 species